rnacentral:rRNA from 1 species
UAGGGAAUAUUGGUUAAUGUGCGAAAGCGCGAACCAGCAACGCCGCGUGUGCGAUGAAGGCCUUCGGGUCGUAAAGCACUUUUUGCAGGGAAGAGGAAGGACGGUACCUGCAGAAUAAGUCUCGGCUAACUACGUGCCAGCAGCCGCGGUAAAACGUAGGAGACGAGCGUUAUCCGGAUUUACUGGGCGUAAAGCGCGUGCAGGCGGCAUGGCAAGUUGGAUGUGAAAGCUCCCGGCUUAACUGGGAGAGGUCGUUCAAUACUGC